UACGUAGGGUGCAAGCGUUGUCCGGAAUUAUUGGGCGUAAAGAGCUCGUAGGCGGCUUGUCGCGUCGGCUGUGAAAACCUGGGGCUCAACCCCGGGCCUGCAGCCGAUACGGGCAAGCUAGAAUUCGGUAGGGGAGACUGGAAUUACUGGUGUAGCGGUGAAAUGCGCAGAUAUCAGGAGGAACACCGGUGGCGAAGGCGGGUCGCUGGGCCGUAACUGACGCUGAGGAGCGAAAGCGUGGGGAGCGAACAGG
rnacentral:rRNA from 1 species